GCAGAUAAGGUCUGAUUCAGAAUCCAACUUUGUACCAGUACUAAUGUUGUCUUGGGCCUGUAACUCCCUCGUACUUUUCCAAUGCUAUAAAACCAUUUUGUUUUUUCAAUGUUACAGAACCGUUUUCUUCUAGUACACAAGGGAGAAAAAUGAACAAUGUAGAAGUUUCACCUGUCAUCUCCAGCAGAGAUUAGAUUGCCCGUCACAGUUGAAGUAGUGAAUGACAUGAAAUGCUGUUUCUUGGAAGAAGUUUAUUGCUUUUCAACCUCUCAAGAACUCAGUUAAUUCAGCUGCUAAAAUAAAAUACAGUGUCCCACAUACUUGUUACCUCAUUUUCUCCCAAUGAUAGAAAGGGUAAGCUCUGAAUCAGCCCCUACUGCAAACCACGGAGAUACACCUGAACUGCGGAGAGAGGAGUUUGCCUGAAGGAUUAAUGGAACAGGGGAAGCUUUCAGCAGAGCCUCGCAAGACAGUGACUGCACUAAGCAAAAACAAUCAUCUCAGGAAGACCGAAGUUCCUCCUCCAGCAACAAGGCUGCCCUCUUGCAAAAGCAGAGCUGAGAGCCACUGGUAA
rnacentral:lncRNA from 1 species